GCUCAGAUUGAACGCUGGCGGCAGGCCUAACACAUGCAAGUCGAACGGUAACAGGAAGCAGCUUGCUGCUUUGCUGACGAGUGGCGGACGGGUGAGUAAUGUCUGGGAAACUGCCUGAUGGAGGGGGAUAACUACUGGAAACGGUAGCUAAUACCGCAUAACGUCGCAAGACCAAAGAGGGGGACCUUCGGGCCUCUUGCCAUCGGAUGUGCCCAGAUGGGAUUAGCUAGUAGGUGGGGUGACGGCUCACCUAGGCGACGAUCCCUAGCUGGUCUGAGAGGAUGACCAGCCACACUGGAACUGAGACACGGUCCAGACUCCUACGGGAGGCAGCAGUA
rnacentral:rRNA from 1 species